rnacentral:rRNA from 1 species
AUGCCGGGAAAAUAUGGCGGGAAAGGGUUGGCGGGAACGUAUGGAGGGAAAGGGAUGCCGGGAAAGGGUUGGCGGGAAUAUAUGGAGGGAAAGAGUUGGCGGGAAACCAUGGAGGAAAAUGGUUGCGCAAAAGUAUAUAUUUUCGAUGUCUAUAAGACGGGCAAUGGUUGUACAUCAUUCAUAAGUCAAAUUUCAAAAAAUAAAACAUUUCGGCCUAGCAAAAGCCGAAGAGCGCAGUCAUGCAUCUUCAGCCUGCAAUUUACGCGAAAAGCUGGGGCCCAGGGACUCUUCAGCCUACACCUGACCGAAGAGUCCUCUUCGGCCAAACGCCGACCGAAAUGA